GUCCUCCCUAAGGCCAGACUCGCUCUAUAAAUGGGGCCAAUUCGGCGUGCCUAAUUGGUACCCAGAGCAAUGGCAUCUCCUAAGUACAGCAGUCUUCUUCCGGCCCUCCUGUUCUCCUUUUGGCUAUUAUUAGCCUUUGGGGGAGUAGCACGAGCUGAAGAUGCAGUCUGCUAUUCAGCAAGCGGGCGGUUCCAUGGGUUGUGUUUUAGUAGCAGCAACUGCGCAAAUGUCUGUCAAGGUGAAGGCUUCACUGGCGGAGAUUGCCACCUCUUAGCAUGCCGGUGCUCGCGUCCAUGCCCUGCUAAAAACUAGCGGAGGCUGCCCAAUGGCCCUACCUAUUACACCGUCGAAUUAAUUAAAUAAAUCAUGUAGUAGGGUCCUCACGUGUUUUCUGCCGCUUGAUUUCAUCUGCUGCUACUACUCCAUCCUUGUUCUCCUUUGCCUUUGUGUAUCUGCCAUUAAGAAUAAAUAAAGCAGCCGCGUUUAUGUACCGACGUUCAUCCUUAUGUAUAAAAAAGGAUGUUUGUCACUGGUUUUUCUCUUGUAGUUCAUCAUGUAGAUCAAACAACUCUGGUUAGAUAGCUGAUUGAAUUUGAAAAACUAGAGUUACCAUUCAAUAUAUAUAUAUAUAUAUAUAUAUAUAGCCAUUUUCUGUUUUGCAA